rnacentral:rRNA from 1 species
CCUAACACAUGCAAGUCGAACGGGCUUCUUCGGAAGUCAGUGGCAGACGGGUGAGUAACACGUGGGAACGUGCCCUUCGGUUCGGAAUAACUCAGGGAAACUUGAGCUAAUACCGGAUACGCCCUUAUGGGGAAAGGUUUACUGCCGAAGGAUCGGCCCGCGUCUGAUUAGCUUGUUGGUGGGGUAACGGCCUACCAAGGCGACGAUCAGUAGCUGGUCUGAGAGGAUGAUCAGCCACACUGGGACUGAGACACGGCCCAGACUCCUACGGGAGGCAGCAGUGGGGAAUAUUGGACAAUGGGCGCAAGCCUGAUCCAGCCAUGCCGCGUGAGUGAUGAAGGCCUUAGGGUUGUAAAGCUCUUUUGUCCGGGACGAUAAUGACGGUACCGGAAGAAUAAGCCCCGGCUAACUUCGUGCCAGC